GAGCGCUUUUGUGCACAGCUUCUAGGAGUUGCAGAUCACUUGCCGGUCCAUGGGCUGCAGAGGUGUGCUGUGCUAGGGGAGGGGGUGGCCUUUAUGAAGUCACACUCAGUGUCUGUAUCACCCAGCAAGGCUGGAGGCUGUGCCAGGGCACUGUCCAUCGGAAGAAAGCACCUUUCAGCAGUUGGCUGUCGGAAAGAUACUCCUUCAUGAUGGCACUCUGUCCUCCGCCGGGGUAGCAUGGUGACUCCCUCUGCCACAUCAGCUCCUUGGACGGCAUCUUCAUUCUUCAGAACAAUUGAGAUUGUUGACUUCAACUUCAGCACCUCAUAGCCCAAGGCCAGAUCAGCCACAUGAAUACCAUGCUCAUGUUUUCUACAACUUCCUUCUUCAGGUCUCACGAUUUCCACUUACAGAUGAAGAAAUAAGACAGACAGUUAAAAGUCACACAGUCACCAAGAGGGGAUCCAGGAAGAGACCCUCGGACAUCUGAAUGCAGAGCAAAGUAGGCCCCUGCAGAACAACUGGAUUAAGUGACUCGGGUCCUGUCCUGGUCAAUAUAUUAGAGAAGAAAC